GCCAGGAUGGCCGAGUGGUAAGGCGCACGCCUGGAAAGCGUGUUCCAUUAUGGAUCCAGGGUUCAAAUCCCUGUCCUGGCG
rnacentral:tRNA from 3 species